GCAGUGGUGGUUCAAUGGUAGAAUUUUCACUUUCCAUGUGGAAAACCCAGGUUCAAGACUCAGCCAAUACA
rnacentral:tRNA from 1 species